rnacentral:rRNA from 1 species
GACGAACGCUGGCGGCGUGCUUAACACAUGCAAGUCGAACGAAGAGCGAUGGAAGCUUGCUUCUAUCAAUCUUAGUGGCGAACGGGUGAGUAACGCGUAAUCAACCUGCCCUUCAGAGGGGGACAACAGUUGGAAACGACUGCUAAUACCGCAUACGAUCUAAUCUCGGCAUCGAGGAUAGAUGAAAGGUGGCCUCUACAUGUAAGCUAUCACUGAAGGAGGGGAUUGCGUCUGAUUAGCUAGUUGGAGGGGUAACGGCCCACCAAGGCGAUGAUCAGUAGCUGGUCUGAGAGGAUGAACGGCCACAUUGGGACUGAGACACGGCCCAGACUCCUACGGGAGGCAGCAGUGGGGAAUCUUCCGCAAUGGACGAAAGUCUGACGGAGCAACGCCGCGUGAGUGAUGACGGCCUUCGGGUUGUAAAGCUCUGUUAAUCGGGACGAAAGGCCUUCUUGCGAAUAGUGAGAAGGAUUGACGGUACCGGAAUAGAAAGCCACGGCUAACUACGUG